CUGCAGUCCUGAGGGCGGACCGUCCGCUUGCAGUAACAGUCAGCAGGCUCUGGGCUUGUGAUUCACUGACCUGGUUUGUUUACAGUCCUUUUGCUUCUUUUCAGACCUCUGAGCUCUGGACUCGGGCAGCCCUCUGUGAUCCUUCUUCCCUUUUUCUUCCACCUUUGCCAGUUUACUCAACAUCUCCCCCUUCCUCUCCCAGUCCCACGAUGUCCUCAAGAUCAGUGUUCUGGGGGCUGGUUCAGAUUCUGAACUGGCAGGUGUAGGUAGGGCCUGAGUCUCCUCUUUCCUAACAAGCAUCCAGAUGUGGCUGCUGCUGGUGGUCUAUGAGCUACAUUUUUGUGGCAAGGCUCUAAAAUCCCCCUGCUAGGCAAGAGAGCCUGGUGCCCUGCCCUGUAUCCUCCCAGCCAGUUCAGAGGGCCUGACCCAAGGCUCUUGUGUGGCAGAAAUAGAGGAACUGACUGAGGCCAAGUCAGAGCAAAGAAACCUGCCUUCUGAGAUGGGCUGAGCGCUGAAGGAAGGGAAGAAGUAUCUCAUCUUGAGAAACUCAAAAUUUGCCUCUGUCUCCUGCAGUCAAGUGACUUCCACCUUGUGGGUCUGGCAGCACUCUGGCCUGUGAAGCUGAACUUUUCCAGGCUCAUCGAAUUUCUUGUGUGGAGAAGAGCACUUCCUGAUAUACAUGCAUUUUUGUCUGUCUCAGAGAGCAAGGAGUUUGUUUUAGUUACUGCUGUAACCGCAAAGCCUAAAACAGUGCCUGGCCUAUAACUGCCCUCAGUAAAUAUUUGCCAAAUGAAUGGAUGGAUAAAGAUAUGUAAUUAACUAUGAAGCGUGUUGACUGCAAACAUGGCCAGCUGCCCCAGUGUCCUUGUGGAAAGGCAGGCUCUUGCUCCUCAAAGGAUGUGGCUGAUUGUAUGAGAAAAAUGCUGUUGCCUUCACCAUGAUGGAUGUGAUUGGGAACCAGAAAUUCAAGGAAUGGCUAUGGUGACUUGUUUUCACUGCUGAAAAAGAGAGGUCCAUUGGAAACCUAUCAGAAUAACUUAAGAAAUGGCAUAAACAACGGGUUAUUUGGACAUCAAUUAAGUAGCAACACCAAGAUGCUGAGAACCAAGAAUUGAAAGCUUUUUAAAGUCAAAUGUAAAUGAAGAACGAAUAAAGCAGACUAGUUUGAUUUAAUUCUUUAGAAA
rnacentral:lncRNA from 1 species